rnacentral:rRNA from 1 species
ACUCCUACGGGAGGCAGCAGUGGGGAAUAUUGGACAAUGGGCGCAAGCCUGAUCCAGCAAUGCCGCGUGAGUGAUGAAGGCCUUAGGGUUGUAAAGCUCUUUUACCCGGGAUGAUAAUGACAGUACCGGGAGAAUAAGCCCCGGCUAACUCCGUGCCAGCAGCCGCGGUAAUACGGAGGGUGCGAGCGUUAAUCGGAAUUACUGGGCGUAAAGCGCAUGCAGGUGGUUUGUUAAGUCAGAUGUGAAAGCCCGGGGCUCAACCUCGGAAUUGCAUUUGAAACUGGCAGACUAGAGUACUGUAGAGGGGGGUAGAAUUUCAGGUGUAGCGGUGAAAUGCGUAGAGAUCUGAAGGAAUACCGGUGGCGAAGGCGGCCCCCUGGACAGAUACUGACACUCAGAUGCGAAAGCGUGGGGAGCAAACAGGAUUAGAUACCCUGGUAGACA